UAGGGAAUCUUCGGCAAUGGACGAAAGUCUGACCGAGCAACGCCGCGUGAGUGAAGAAGGUUUUCGGAUCGUAAAACUCUGUUGUUAGAGAAGAACAAGGACGUUAGUAACUGAACGUCCCCUGACGGUAUCUAACCAGAAAGCCACGGCUAACUACGUGCCAGCAGCCGCGGUAAUACGUAGGUGGCAAGCGUUGUCCGGAUUUAUUGGGCGUAAAGCGAGCGCAGGCGGUUUCUUAAGUCUGAUGUGAAAGCCCCCGGCUCAACCGGGGAGGGUCAUUGGAAACUGGGAGACUUGAGUGCGGAAGAGGAGAGUGGAAUUCCAUGUGUAGCGGUGAAAUGCGUAGAUAUAUGGAGGAACACCAGUGGCGAAGGCGGCUCUCUAGUCUAUAACUGACGCUGAGGCUCGAAAGCGUGGGGAGCAAACAGG
rnacentral:rRNA from 1 species